AAGCAAGCGAUAUUUCACACUCCUGUGUAGAUUAUAACGUACACUUUGGUUUAUUCAAUAAAAAAAACAUUCCUAUACAAACGUCUUUAGAGCUGCCAGCUCUCCUUUAAAAUAUACGUUGAAGUACAGCAAUCGCCAAAAACUCCAUAUUCCGAAAUCCCAGGCAAACAUCGGACCCUGUUAUAAAUUGUGCAGUAUUAAGAAAUAACAAUGGCGCAAAUUGCAGGCGGCGAAGGAAGCCGGGUUUCGUCCACGCUUACGUUGGGUGAAACACCUUCACCGCCGACGCAGCAGGUUCUGACGCUCCGCUUGGCCCCUCGCCGACGAAAGACGGUCACAUGGAAGGAAGGCACCGUUGAUAAUGAGUUCAUGAACAAGAAGAGCUCUAAAAAAUGCUGUAUUUUCCACAGGGAGAAGCCCUUUGAUGAAGACGACAGUGACGACGACAAUGACGAAAGCCGAAGAAAAGAGAGGGACAAUUCUAUGCAAUGUGACCGUGGCCAAAGCAGUGGCGGGAAUUCCUGCUCGCACCAGCACUAGGGCAUGCGAAAUUUGGGCAUUCGGUAGUUUUCGUUGUAGGGUUUUUAAUAAUCAAACACUCGAUGUCUCGAAGAGCAUCAUGUAAAGCAGACAUGGUAAUACUUAUUCGAGCUCUUUAUAUUGUUACAUAUUAUUUCUGUGCCUGGGAUAUUUUCAAAGAAAUGUGUAUUUACGUGUUAUCAUACAAUUAAUGGACUGGUUGGAAUAUUUUGAAGCUAUGGAGUGUGGAUUCAUGACUUCGUUUUAUGUGAUUGUUGUUUAUGGAAUGCUUUAUCUUGGCAAAGAUAGGGCAAGAUAAAUGACCUAUGUCCCAAAAUUACAGGAAGCAAAAGGUAUGAGACUGGGAUCUAUGAUAUCUGGCUAAUAAAACCAUGAAUUGUGGAUUAGCACAAAUCUCUCAAAGAUUGAUUGUAAUGUCCACUAUAAAGAUAAAAGGAAACGGUUUUUUUAUUA